rnacentral:rRNA from 1 species
UUAUAGCUUGCUAUAAAGAAUAGUUAGUGGCAGACGGGUGAGUAAUGCAUAGGAAUCUACCUAGUAGUAUGGGAUAGCCACUAGAAAUGGUGGGUAAUACUGUAUAAUCCCUGCGGGGGAAAGAUUUAUCGCUAUUAGAUGAGCCUAUGUUAGAUUAGCUAGUUGGUAGGGUAAAGGCCUACCAAGGCGAUGAUCUAUAGCUGGUCUGAGAGGAUGAUCAGCCACACUGGAACUGAGAUACGGUCCAGACUCCUACGGGAGGCAGCAGUGGGGAAUAUUGGACAAUGGGCGCAAGCCUGAUCCAGCUAUGCCGCGUGAGUGAGGAAGGCCUUAGGGUUGUAAAACUCUUUCAGUAGGGAAGAUAAUGACGGUACCUACAGAAGAAGUCCCGGCAAACUCCGUGCCAGCAGCCGCGGUAAUACGGAGGGGGCAAGCGUUGUUCGGAAUUAUUGGGCGUA